UCACCCGGCGCCUGGCGGGCCGCGGGCUCGGCUCCCGGCUGCGAGGGGGCCUCGGGAGGCGCAGACCCUCCGUCGGGCGUUCUCCUCAUCGGGCAGGGUCGGCUCUGAGCCCAAGGUCCGUCCGCUGUCCAGAGGGGUCUGUCGUCUGGCGGCGACAUCGAGGGCGACUUCCAGGAGGACCGUCCCCAACCGACCGCCCCGCGGCCGCCACUGUCCCGCGAUCCCCGGCCCCGCGCGGGGUUGGGAUGGGAGGGGGCGUGCAGCCGACCGCUGUCCAUUGGGACACCGAGACCCGACGAGAGGGCGAUCGGCGCGGGCGGGCAGAAAAAUUGCCCUAGAAGGGCGCGGGGAGGUCCGUUUGAAAGUGUUUUUUCAACUUUGAUUUGACUCAGGACGGGGCGAGGAGGGCUGAGUUCAAUGAUGAAAAACGGCGCUCAUCCUGCCUCUGAAAUGGUCCUGCCCGGAAGGACCCUUCAACUUUGACUCUGUCCCGCGUCCCGGCGCCCCUCUCCUCGGUCCCCACACGGGGUCACUGAGCCGAACAAUCUGGCAGGGCUGCCGGAGCCGCGCAGUUACUAAGUCGGCAAAGGCCCCAAACGGAACAAGUUGAGAAGGAGAAGAGAGGCCCCGCCUCUUUGCAUUCCAAAUGAAGUCAGAGGCUGUCGCAUCACCUGGGGGCCUCUUUCUUGCUCCUAAUUUGAGAUGCACUUUCAUCACAAAAUAAACUCUUAUACUCA